AUAAUUAAAAUCUUACUUAUUUUAAUUACAUUAUUUAUGAGAAGAAUCUUUAUAUUUAGUAUGAUUAAAGAAAAAUUUUUUUUGUUAUAGUAUAUUAGUACUGUUAAGGAAUUGAUGAAAUAGAUUAAAAUUUAUUUUUUAAUAAGUAUGUUUAUUUUACAGUACCUUUUGUAUCAGGGUUGAUCAAUUAAUUUAAUUUAUAUUUAUAUCUCGAUUUCAGAAGAGCUAAAUUAUUAUUUUAGUUAAUGUGGAAUAAUUAUUAAUAAUAUAAUUUAGAGGAGAAAUUUUAUUCGGUUCUGAGGGUAUCUAGUUUUUUAAGAAAUAAAUUUAAUUUAGCUUCAGCACUUAAUUAUUAUAUUUUUUUAUAAUUUAUAAGCUGAAAUAAAAAUUAUAGGGGACAAGCUCUAUAUUUUUCUAUAAAAUUUUAUUUUAAUAUAUUUCUGUAGGGUUAAGAAUAUCCAUCAUUAAUAAGUAUGUUAUAAUUUAUAUUUAUUAUUAAUUAAUUUUGGGAUUUUUAGUAUUUUAUUAAAAUAUCAAAAUAAAUUAAGUAUUUUGAGAAAUAAUGAUUAAAUUAGUAUAAAAAUUUGUUUAUUAUAUUAUUAUUUUUAUGAUAAAAUAAGGAACUCGGCAAAUAUAGUUCUCGCCUGUUUAUCAAAAACAUGUCCUUUUGAAUUUAAUUGAAGGUCUGACCUGCCCAGUGAGGAGUUCAACGGCCGCGGUAUACUGACCGUGCAAAGGUAGCAUAAUCAUUAGUCUUUUAAUAGAGGGCUGGAAUGAAAGGUUCAACGAGGAACUGACUGUCUCAUUUUAUUUGUUUUAAAAUUUAAUUUUUUAGUUAAAAAGCUAAAAUUCUAUUGGAAGACGAGAAGACCCUAUAGAUCUUUACAUAACUUUAUUUAAAUAUUUAUAUAUUAAUAUUUUUAUAUUUUUUUGUGUUUUGUUGGGGUGACAAAAAUAUAUAUUUAACUUUUUUAUUUACAUAACAUUGAUUUAUGAAUAUUAGAUCCAUUAUUAUUGAUUAUUAGACUAAGUUACCUUAGGGAUAACAGCGUAAUCCUCCUCCAGAGUUCAUAUUUACAGGAUGGGCUUGCGACCUCGAUGUUGGAUUAAGAUAAUAAUUA
rnacentral:rRNA from 1 species